GGGCGAUAAGUAAUGUGAAUUGCAGAUUUUCAGUGAAUCAUCGAAUCUUUGAACGCACCUUGCGCUCCUUGGUAUUCCGAGGAGCAUGCCUGUUUGAGUGUCAUUAAUAUACCAACCUCUUUAAAUUUUGAGAGUGUUUGGAUGUGGGGUGUUAUUUUGCUGGCCUUCUCCAAGGUCAGCUCCCCUGAAAUGUAUUAGCGGAACAAUCUGUUGACCGUUCAUUGGUGUGAUAGCAUAUCUACGCUAUUGACGUAAAGCAAGUUCAGCUUAUAACAGUCCAUUGACUUGGACAAUUCUCUAUUUAUUAAUGUGACCUCAAAUCAGGUAGGACUACCCGCUGAACUUAA
rnacentral:rRNA from 1 species